UUGGCCCACAGCCCUGUGGUCCUUCAAGUGUCUCUGAAAGAUGUGGACUCUUGAAAUGGAAAGCAGGAGCCAGGUACAGGGCACUCCCGUUCUCUCAGUCCUGUUUCUGAGCUUGCAGUUUCCAGCUCUAUUAUCUUUUUUUCCCUGAGCUUUCCAGGGCUGCUGUUCAUGUCUGGCAGGUAACUUCUGUUCCCUAGCUACCUCCUGUCACCACAGCUCUGCUCACACAGCAGCUGGGGAGGGAGGAGGAAUGACCCCUUUCUUUGCACCAGCGAGGAGAUCUGUGCAUGGAGGGUCCUUCCUGGCACAGGUCAGAGGGAUGAGGAAAUGAUUCAAGGCUGCAAUUUUUGCAAGUAAUGCCAGGGUGCAGCUAUAUUUCUGGAAAGCAAGAGCCAGCUGUGCCAGAGCAGAGAGCAUUGCUCAGCGCAGCAUCAACAUAAAAACCCAGCAGCGGUUUGAUAUGAGACAAAUUUUAUUAAAACCAUAAGAAGCAACCAUCCAAUAGUUGGUUCUUUCUUGCUUUUAGCGUAUACAUAAAAGAAAGGGCUGGCGUUCUGACAGCAAGCAAAAUGCUUUCAGUCCUCGGUCUCAGAAAAACAGGCUUCCUCGGUCACACAGUUUUCAAUAGCUGCAAACACAGAGUUAUGUUGCUAAAUGUUAAGGGCUCAGCUGUUUACCAGAAGAAUGUUUCCUCCCUGGAACACAUGGUUUUGCUUAAAAGAAGUUCUCCCAAAAACCCCAUUUUAUUUAAUUAGUAAAUGCAACAUUAUAGUUCUAACAAACAUGCCAUACUGUCUUCCCUUACAAGAGCAAAAUAGGAAAAGAAGACAAAAAUUGACCUCUCAAUUUAAGAGAGGGGUAGAAGCACAUUCUGCCUAGGAAAUAUUGCAGCUUUGAGGUCUGGUGAUCUAGAGCCAAAUCUCGUGCUUGAAAUGUGUGGUACUUUGUGUGUCGUUUCCAUGUCCUGGUUCAUGCUGUAAGCGCAAAUGUGGAUCAGAGUGAGAGGCUUGCAUGCUCUCCCAGCUUUUACCACCGGCUGGUCAAAUCUCUGCCUCUCACUUCCCAGGCUCAGCUCUCCCCUCUGUAAGGGGGAGGUGAUCUUACUCCUCCUUACAAAAAGCACACUCAAAUCAUUAAAUAAAAAUGUAGUACUCUUGUUUCUUCUAAAUGAAAUUACCCUGAAAUUAAUUGCAUUUACAUCAGCAGUUGAUUUAUCCCAGAGUAUUACCAGGAUGCAAGCAAGAGCUUCUAGAAUGAAAGUAUUAUAUUUUUAAUUAAGGGCCCUUGAACUUGCCACAUGCUUUGAGCUUGUGGAGAGUGAAAUGGUGGCAAAUUUCUGAACAACUCAUUCAGCUCAGCAAAGUAUUUACGAUUAUCUGCUAAAAAUGAUCGUUGUGAGACAGAGCUUAAGCUAACACGGGAAAUCUGUGCUGAAAGAAUUACAGAUAUUGUAGCAACCCAAAGGAAGCAUACUGUUCACAUUCCUCUUACUUCUUUUGACUCUUGUAUCCAAUGGAAAAGUUCUUGAUAAGCUUUAUUGCACUGCAGAGGGUAUAAACAAUGCACUUUGAAAUCUGCUGAGUUUAAACCCAAAACUUAUCUUUUCAUUUGUUUCCUGAAUUGUCCCACAAACACAAAUCCACUCCACACAUGUGUUUAUAAAGAGCAGAAUACAUUUAUUACUGCCAUACAGUCCCUUCCUUUCUUGGUUUUUUUUUCCUCAGUAUUUCUUUUUUUUUUUUUUUACUUGCUAAAACAUUCUUCUAUAUGCUGAACUGCAACAUGGUGUUUGAUGUCUGCAAUCAAACUGCAACAAGAGGGAAAAGUGAGCAUCUUCCACACAGGAGCGCAUCAGCUUCCAGAAGGUGAGACGUGUGGAAGAUUCCCUGUUGCCAUGCAAAGGAACCGAGCCAAGGACUAACAACAGUGGUCUGACUCUACAAUACGAAGGGGGAGCACGUCUGUGCUUGCACAGAAGUAUCCCACAUCAGUGCAAAAUAGGCCUGUGGAUUCCUCCAUCCCUCCUGGGUAUUUCAAUUAAAAGCAGAGAAGGAAGUCCAAGAAAAUGCCUAAAAUGGCUUGAGUCCUUCCUCACGAUCUGGAAAUGGAAGUCUGCGGUGACUAACUCCAGCCCAGCCACCAAACCCCUCCCUCCCCGACUCUGCAUUGCUCUGUUCAUUCCCAGCUCCUCUCCUGCGUUUGCAAACAGUCGGCAGUGGAAACAGUGAAGCAGCCUGGCUUCGAACGCCAGCACCACACGAGUGGUAUGCGACUGCAGCAGGGACCGUCCCCAGCCCAUCCCCGUGCCUAACCUAGGAAGAAGUGGUUAAAAUCUGACGGGGGCAAGGCUUGAUUAUAAGCAGAGGAAUUACUUUAAAAGAGGUUGCUGCCACGCCUGCAAACAAAGCCCGAUUAAAUCCUUCCAUGGGCUUAAACUGGCUUCAAAACAGGCCUCUAGCAGCUUCUCCAGUUUAAAUAAAAAUUGAAAUGCCUGUUUAUAAUUUCUAAGCCAGUUCAGAUGAUGUCUCCUGACUUUCUCACAAAGCUAACAGCAAUAUUUGUAAAGAACAAAAUUAGCUAACUGAAUGUUUAAUUCAGUCACAACUUUUUCCCUAAGGACUUUAAGAGUCAGAGCUUUCUGUGCUCGUGAGUGAAGGCUAAGGGAGGAUAAAUCAUCCACUGUGGGCCCCAGGAUGCCCUAUCUGCUCCUCUUUGGUUGUGAACUGUGGAGAAACACAUCCUUGAAAUGUUUGACUGCUUCUGAGACAAAGCCUUCCUUGCCCUUCAUUCAGCAAUGCAGCAAGAUCUUUGGGAGACCAAGCAUGCCUGGAGAUGAGUUUGUUCACAGGGUGUAUGAGGUGCUGGCUGGAGAGAUGCAGAGCUGAGCUGCUGGCAUAUGCCCUACCCAAAUUUACUCCUGCCCUCAGUGUUCCUCCAAGGGUAUUUUUCACGCAAGCACACCUGGUCACCCAUUCAUACCAACAGAAAAGCAAGAAGAGAUGGAAUUGAUUAAUUAAAACAAAGUUCUUCAGGGCUCAGUCUCAAAUAGAAACUUGGGCUGCUAAAGACACUGAGAUCACCUCCCAUCCCUACUGCUUGAGGUAAGCCCAGACAACUCAAUUGCUGUCCUAAGGCCAUGUUUCUGAAGGUAUCUUCCCAAGAUCCCAAGCUCUCCACAUCUGCUCAGUGAUUCUUUUAGCAAGGUGGCCAGCAGGAAGGACUCUGUCUGCACAGUCUCCUACCUGGCUCCCUGAAGGGACAUCCUCCCUUUGAAGGACAACUCCCAACCUCACUUUCGGGAUGCUCCUGCUUCUCCUGGUGUGGUGGGGGUUGGUGAUGCUCCUGAAGGCUGAGGCUCCCCUGCGUCCUUUUGGAAGCCCCGUCGCUAUGGCGACUGUGUGCAGCUUUAUGGUCUGUUUGUUGUCCACCUCUCUCAAUCAGACAUGCUUCUGGAGCUUUUAUAUUUUCAGUGAUUUUCAUUCAAAUUCUCUAGUGGGUGGUUUUGAAUUCAAUAAAGGAAUGACACACUGUGAUGAAAGACUUCCAAAAAUCUGUGUGUUUCACUGUUGCACUGUUUUAUUUAUUUAAUUAUUAAAAGAGACUUUUUAUUGAUUUUCUAUUAAUUUUGUGUCAUUGUCAUACUGGUCUGAGAACAUCAGAGAGAAAGAGAAAAUUUUUUACUUCGCCCCCUGCUUUGGAUGCAAAACUCACCAAAUUGCUCCCCAUGAUCCAGCUGGGGUGGCUGUGGCACUGAGGGGAGCAGCAGAGCUGCCCACCUGCUCCCCUGCCCCGAUUCUCAGGGGACUGCAGGAGCCAAGCAGGGUGGACCAGAAUCCUUAAAGCCUAAAGGCAAUUUUGCCCUGGAACAGAUCUCCAUCUUGGUGCUCCCAACUCAGCCAGGGGAUGAAUGAAACAGAGGAGCAAUGAUGGUGAAGCCUCAAGAGUGUGCACAGGGUAAAUGCACCAUCUUUGCUCACCUGCUUCUUCAUCACCAAGGGACAUUUCAAACCCUAGUGGUCACUCCUCCCAGCUUAUAAGCUAAAGCUUUUACCUACCAGGUCAUAGCACUUCUGAUUUGAUGAUUAUUUUAAUGAAGGAUCACAAUUUGUAUUUGUAUCCUUCUUGGCCCAUUCCCUCUCCAGGGCUUCUGCCUCUGUUUGUCAGAGAGAGUUUUUAUUCCUUGCCUUCUGCAUAUUCUUCCACCUGCUCUGAUGCUUCUAUCACAACAGUCCUAGGAGGUGAAGAUCUGUUCAGCUUUGACAAAUGUUAGCACUUCUGCAUUUGAUAGUCAUAUUUUAGGGAGUUAUUUUCCUUCAAAGGAAUUUAUAUACCUCUCCUUACCUUUGUUGCAUUUCAAAAUUGUGCAUCUUGUGCUGACAUGGGAAGAGCUCUUUGGUUGGGAACUCAUGGUUUGCUCUGAAGGUUUGAGAUUAUCAAUGAGGAAAUCUUAUUUCUCAAAAUGUAGUUGAAAAAGAGCUGCCAUGGUACUAAUAAUAAAAAUGUAUAGACAUGAAACCAAGAGAUUAUUGGGAAGAAAAACUGAAUGCUUUCAAACACAGAAAAUAAGGACUAUGGUUUUAGUUGUGU